AUGGUCGGUGCUCGGAGCGGCACUUCUCGCGAGGAUCACUUCGAGGAAAAAUACGAGAGAAAUCACCAGCUAAAACCGGAAGAGAAAAACAGAGAAUCAGAUAGCUUGAAGGAUGCAACACAGACUUUGAGCAUCGGGUCUGUGCUGAUAGCGACGGUGACGUUUGGCGCCACAUUCGCACUGCCUGGUGGUUACAAGGCGGACGAUCGUCCCAACGGUGGCUCACCGACGCUCGCAGGCACGUACGGCUUCGACGCGUUCAUGAUGGCCAACACGCUGGCCUUCAUCUGCUCCUCGAUGGCCACGGUCGGCUUCAUGUUCUCCGGGACUCCCAUGGUUAACAGGAGGAGCCGAAAGUUCCACCUCAGCUGCUCCGUGUAUUUCAUGGAGGCUUCAGUCACGAGCCUGACGGCCGCAUUCGCGCUGGGGGUGUACUUGGUGCUGGCUCCCGUCGCUUACAAGACCGCCAUUGCCAUUUGUGCCGUUAGCCCUUUUGUGUUGCUCUGGAAAAAUGUUGAUUGUUGGAAGAGAUGGAUUCGUUUUGCUGGACCCUUUUGGGUUAGGAAGAGGCUAUUUUGGACCUUGCAAGAGUUUGUACGGCAGUUCGUGUGGAGCAUACUGCUUGAACUUUGGCCCCUCGUGAUUAUCUUCUGUUGGGCAGCAUUCGCAAAUACUGGCACACACUUUUAA
rnacentral:rRNA from 1 species